rnacentral:rRNA from 1 species
AGCUCCAAUAGCGUAUAUUAAAUUUGUUGCGGUUAAAAAGCUCGUAGUCGGAGAUCUGCACUAAAGACGAUGUCUACCCAGCGGGUAUGUCAUCAAUAACUUGCGUGCAUCCUUCUGGGGACACGGUUUCCACUUGAUUGUGGAAUCGCUGACUUCAGAACCUUUACUUUGAGGAAAUGAGAGUGUUUCAAGCAGGUGCCAGCCGUGGAUAUGUUAGCAUGGAAUAACAGUAUCGAACCGUCGUGUAGCUCUUGGUGUGCAGCGACGGUAAAGGUAAAAGGGACAGUUGGGGGUAUUCGUAUUCAACUGUCAGAGGUGAAAUUCUUGGAUUUGUUGAAGACGGACUACUGCGAAAGCAUUUGCCAAAGAUGUUCUCA